CUGCAAUUGACGAGUCUUAAAUAAAACGAAACGCGCGUCCUGGAU
rfam:Schistosoma curassoni strain Dakar, Senegal genome assembly, scaffold: SCTD_scaffold0003657